UACACUCCUGCGGGAGGCAGCAGUGGGGAAUAUUGGACAAUGGGCGCAAGCCUGAUCCAGCCAUGCCGCGUGAGUGAUGAAGGCCCUAGGGUUGUAAAGCUCUUUCACCGGUGAAGAUAAUGACGGUAACCGGAGAAGAAGCCCCGGCUAACUUCGUGCUAGCAGCCGCGGUAAUACGAAGGGGGCUAGCGUUGUUCGGAUUUACUGGGCGUAAAGCGCACGUAGGCGGACUAUUAAGUCAGGGGUGAAAUCCCGGGGCUCCACCCCGGAACUGCCUUUGAUACUGGUAGUCUUGAGUUCGAGAGAGGUGAGUGGAAUUCCGAGUGUAGAGGUGAAAUUCGUAGAUAUUCGGAGGAACACCAGUGGCGAAGGCGGCUCACUGGCUCGAUACUGACGCUGAGGUGCGAAAGCGUGGGGAGCAAACAGGAUUAGAAACCCGUGUAGUCCCAUG
rnacentral:rRNA from 1 species